CUGCAAAAAGCAGGGCCUCAGCUGAACCUCUACUCCAAUUCAGCACCCCAGAGCAGUAGCCCUCUCAUAGCAUUUGUUCAUUCACAGUGCACUUAACGUUUCAAGAGUUUUAUUUGUAUACUAGGUGUUAGGAGUCCCAGGAGCUAGGGUCACUUACACACUCCAUUUGUGCGGUUUUUUCUUGAAUUUAUUUUGGCACGAGCUGUGGGACGUAAAAUGCAGCAGAGCGGUUCCGCCUUUUUUUUUUGCGCCGGCUCAAGAAGGAUGUGGGGUCUGGAAGGGAACGAAAUGACGUGGCCGGCGGUUUUAAAUAAGAGUGAGGCAGUGAGAAGCGGGAUCCUUUCUCCUUCGUACCUGAAGGCGAAACAAAUGGACUGAAAAAUAAUUGUCCCACGCAGUAGUGGGGCUAAACCGCGUAUUGUACGGGGUGGCUCCCCAGUGUGGUUGUUCAGUUGAAUUCACCUUAACCCGCCAUGUUUUCCAGUUGAUAAGCUCUCGUGAUUUAGCUCGUAACGUUGACUCUCUGACACAGUGGUUGUUUUAUUUCCCUUUCGCUUGUAGCUGUGCGCUUUGCGUGGGCCCGUUGUUCUUUCACCUUUUCCCUCACCACCAAAUAACCGGCAAAAACAAACUACAACCAAGGGCAGACAUUGCGCCGUCCAGGUGACCUAACGACGACGGCUCCAUGGAAAUCGAGGAGUCUGCGAUGGAAAGCCGCUACAGAUGGCUACUUAGCAAUAACCAGCCUUGGAAGACUUAAGUCCCUCUUAUUUUGGUACUGCAGCAGGAGAAGAAAGAUUGCCUGUGAACUGUGCUGACGCAGAACUCAGAGGAAGCAGUUACACGCUGUCCUAAGGCCCCUGGCACCGGAAGCACAAGUACAGGUGCUUCAGGCAGGACCUCCAGGACUUCCCACAGGCUGAAAUGGGCCAGAAAUGCCCACUGAUUGAUCACAUCUUCAGCUGAAGACCAGACAAAUGAAGUACCAUAUAAAGGAGUACAUCUGACCCAGUUCCUCUGACUUACAUUUUAAGAUACCACUGCUCAGCUAGUGCUGCUAGCAUGAUUAAAAGGAGUAUACCAAGGUUCUGGGCCCUCACUGUCACAAGGCAGUGUGGACACAGUAAGCCUUAGAAAUGCUGCUGAAAACUGUCAAAUUAUCCAACCAAACAAAUCUUUCCACAUUCAAAACAAACUGUGAAAGGCAGACCUACGUUGUCCUUGUUGUUGGAAUAUGGCUGGACAAUUCUCUUGUAAAUAGCUGGUGGUUGAAGUCAAAGGUCAAUGGCUAAGCUACACUGUGAACAGUGACACAUAGUUUUUAUGUCUGUUUUUAUUAUUAUUUGUUUAUACAGACAUCACGCAGCCAUUUCAAUAACCAUCAUAUAAAAUUCAUUUCAAGUGUAGUGAGGUCUGGUCAGGUUUAUUCAGAACAAUGGAUUCAACAACCAAUCAGAAUUCUGUCCGUCUGUAGAGCUCUACUUAGUGAAAUAACAUAAACACGACAAUGGAUUGGAAAUAAAGGAUAUAUCUUUAUUGGAAAUGAUAAUGAAAAUGUGAAUAGGCUCAUUGAAAACAAUAAUUAGCAUAAAGAGGAAUAAUAUUGUACAAUUCGUAAUCAGGGGAAAUGUUAAUUCUGUGACAAGGUUAACCGUGCUACCAUUUUAAAAAUGCUAGUUUGUGUUAUGGCUUAAUGACACCCUGCUGUACAUUAUGCGGUUAGUUCGUUUAAUCAGUCUCGUAAAAUGAAGUUGUAACAAAUUAACACAAGGUCAGGGAAUUUGCUUUAAUGGUAACCAAAAUACGUGUAAUAGCAAAAUAAACACAACAGUAAACAGUAGUAAAACGACCCAACCAGGUAUGACAAGUUUUACGCUAAGGCCCUGUCCACACGUAUAUGGAUUUUUCUGAAAACUUAGUUUUUUAUUUUUUUUUAAAAGAAAAAUUCCAUCCACACGACCGGCAUUUAAAAAAAUAUCUCCGUCCACACGAGAAUGCUAAAAUGAUUGGCGCAUGCGCAAUACACCAAUUGCCAUGGUAACAGAUGCGCGAGUUGAGGUCAUGACGUCAGCGUUUUCAUAAAGCUCCAUUUUUCUUGUCCACACGAAGACCGGAGUUUUGAAAAAUCUCCACCUUGGAAGGUGUUUUCAAAAAGCUUUGUUCUCAGUGACCUAAAACAGUGUUUUUGUGUGGACGGGAGGCCAAAACGGAAGGAAAAAACUAUGUUUAAAAAAAAAUCCAUAUACGUGUGGACAGGGCCUAAGGUUUGAUGUCAGUAUUAAAUAAAACUACAUGGUGACGCACUGCGGUGGGCGCAUGUUAAAAAGCCGUAGUGUGCGUUUUAAAAACAGGUUUGCUGCAACACACUCACUGUACGCGUGGCCAACUAACAGGGCAGUGCAGCUGUAGGCUGUUAAAUUCUAGCCAUAGGGUUUUACUUUGUUUUAAAUGUUUUAAAUCGCAACAUUACCGUGCUAACAAACACCUUUCGCACAUUGUGCGUCAUGCGUCGGUCGGCGUUCGUAGCUGUGAGCCACUGUUUCCUGUGCAGAAGGGAAGACAUUUUUUUUGGUUUCAACCAUGCCUCCUACAGCAUAUAUGAGGGAGUGUUCACCCUUCAUUUUGGUAUUGUUGGUUGGAUGGAAUUUAUGCUGGUCAGAGUCAGGAAAGUAGCAGUGGUAAUAGUGUGUGGGUUGUCAUUGAAAGCCUUGUACAUGUUAUGUCUAUUUUUUGUUUUGUUUCUUUAGUAGUGUCAGUUGUGUUUAUUAGAGUUUAGUUGUUUAUUUGUUUUGAUACCUUUCACCCCCCCUGCACUGUAUAUAGCCCUCACCUUUGCCUGCCCAUCUGGAGAAAUAAUAAAACUACUUGGGCACUUCA